rnacentral:rRNA from 1 species
AUUGAACGCUGGCGGCAGGCCUAACACAUGCAAGUCGAGCGCGCGGCGGACGGGUGAGUAAUGUCUGGGAAACUGCCUGCUGGAGGGGGAUAACUCCUGGAAACGGUAGCUAAUACCGCAUACCCUCUGAUGUGCCCCGAUGGGAUUUGCUAGUAGGUGGGGUAAAGGCUCACCUAGGCGACGCUCCCUAGCUGGUCUGAGAGGAUGACCAGCCACACUGGAACUGAGACACGGUCCAGACUCCUACGGGAGGCAGCAGUGGGGAAUAUUGCACAAUGGGCGCAAGCCUGAUGCAGCCAUGCCGCGUGUAUGAAGAAGGCCUUCGGGUUGUAAAGCACUUUCAGCGGGGAGGCGUUACCCGCAGAAGAAGCACCGGCUAACUCCGUGCCAGCAGCCGCGGUAAUAC